AGGCCAGGGAGCGAGCGUCUGAUGCAACAGCCUCCGUCCACCCAUCAAUUCUGAGUCGCCGCAGGCAGCCCUGCCAGCUGCCCAGCCGUCGCUUUGAAACGCAGCCCCGUCCUGGUCACCCAGCCUCUGCCCACGACUUCACCGGCUCCCCACGCGCCCAGCAUCAAGCCGAGGCCACCCGGCCCCCGCGCCCCUCCUCCCCCCGGCCUCGCCCACUCCUCCAGCCCCACCUCUGGCCCGCGCCUGCGCACGCACAGCGCACACACGCCAGCACCGGCCCUACCACACGCUGUGCCUGCGUUGCCCGUGCAUCUGUCCGUGUCAUCCGUGGGCUCCUUCACGUUUGCAGCCAGAUGCCCAGGCCCCCUCGUCCCCCCGGCCAGCCCCUCUCACCAGAACCAGGGGAAAAUGUUCCAUCCAGCGCCCCAGGCCUGCGGCCCUGUUGAGGCUCUAAGAGGCGCAGCUUCCCCAGGUGUGGGGCAGACAGAAUCGCCACAAAGGCCGCCUUCCCCGAGGAUCCUGGGCCUGAAAAACACCCCCAAGACCCCACAAGGUCUUCAAAGUCGUGACUUCAGAGCAAGAAAACUCCUGAGCGAAAGCCGGGCCCCUGUCAGAGCAGAGGCGGAGGACGUGGGGGCCGCUGACCCCGAGCCUGGCCGGGUACCAGCCCCUCCCAGAGCACGCCGCGGGAGCGAGUGAUGGGAUUCAGGUCAGGUCAGGUCAGGUCCCUGAAUACCAGCAGAUGUGAACUCUGGGGGCACCAGUCACGCUGGCGGGCGGCCGUCCAUGGCACCAUAACGGGGGACCAUCACCCCGGCAAUCCGAGCAACACCAAUGAAGGACAGGGGCGUCUUCAUCUGGAGCCUUGAGGUCGGGAGGCCUGAGGCCGGAGCAGUGAGCGCGGGACGGGGCUCCCGCGAUCAGCGCGCAGUUCCCACCAUGCCACCCUCCCAGGUGCACGCCCCUCCCCAAGGAUCCACCCCCCAGAAAGCGCGGAGCCUUCUUUACCAUCAUCCGUAAGGUUUUCAUUUUUAAGUGAUACUGUAAUUGUGCUCACGAGCCCCUCUUGUGGGCUUGUGGGAGAGCCUGGAGGGACCCAUCAUUCUAAACAGGCGGGGUUAUUAUCUGCUUUGUUUUUGGUUUGACCAAAUACCUUUGCAUCCAAGACCAAAUAUUUGUUUCUCUUUUUGAAUUUUAAUUGAAUUAUUUUAUGCCUGU